GAUGAACGCUGGCGGCGUGCCUAAUACAUGCAAGUCGAGCGAACAGACGAGGAGCUUGCUCCUCUGACGUUAGCGGCGGACGGGUGAGUAACACGUGGAUAACCUACCUAUAAGACUGGGAUAACUUCGGGAAACCGGAGCUAAUACCGGAUAAUAUAUUGAACCGCAUGGUUCAAUAGUGAAAGACGGUUUUGCUGUCACUUAUAGAUGGAUCCGCGCCGCAUUAGCUAGUUGGUAAGGUAACGGCUUACCAAGGCAACGAUGCGUAGCCGACCUGAGAGGGGGAUCGGCCACACUGGAACUGAGACACGGUCCAGACUCCUACGGGAGGCAGCAGUAGGGAAUCUUCCGCAAGGGGCGAAAGCCUGACGGAGCAACGCCGCGUGAGUGAUGAAGGUCUUCGGAUCGUAAAACUCUGUUAUUAGGGAAGAACAAAUGUGUAAGUAACUAUGCACGUCUUGACGGGACCUAAUCAGAAAGCCACGGCUAACUACG
rnacentral:rRNA from 1 species